rnacentral:rRNA from 1 species
GACGAACGCUGGCGGCGUGCUUAACACAUGCAAGUCGAACGAUGAAACCUAGCUUGCUAGGUCGAUUAGUGGCGAACGGGUGAGUAACACGUGACUAACCUGCCCCUUUCUCUGGGAUAACGCUCCGAAAGGAGUGCUAAUACCGGAUACUCACAUCGAGGCACAUGCCUUGGUGUGGAAAGUUUUUCGGAAAGGGAUGGAGUCGCGGCCUAUCAGCUUGUUGGUGAGGUAACGGCUCACCAAGGCGACGACGGGUAGCCGGCCUGAGAGGGUGACCGGCCACACUGGGACUGAGACACGGCCCAGACUCCUACGGGAGGCAGCAGUGGGGAAUAUUGCACAAUGGACGCAAGCCUGUUGCAGCAACGCCGCGUGAGGGAUGACGGCCUUCGGGUCGUAAACCUCUUUUAGUAGGGAAGAAGCGAAAGUGACGGUACCUGCAGAAAAAGCACCGGCUAACUACGUGCCAGCCGCCGCCGUAA